rnacentral:rRNA from 1 species
CCUACGGUGGUCGGAGGGAGGAAGAGUGGGCAAGGGGCGGGAGCCGGAACCAGGCAAGGAGGGUGAAGGAGGACAGGCCUACGGGUUGUAAACUUCUUUUAUAAAGGAAUAAAGUGAGGCACGUGUGCCUUUUUGUAUGUACUUUAUGAAUAAGGAGCGGCUAACUCCGUGCCAGCAGCCGCGGUAAUACGGAGGAUCCGAGCGUUAUCCGGAUUUAUUGGGUGUAAAGGGAGCGUAGAUGGGUUGUUAAGUCAGUUGUGAAAGUUUGCGGCUCAACCGUAAAAUUGCAAUUGAUACUGGCAGCCUUGAGUACAGUUGAGGUAGGCGGAAUUCGUGGUGUAGCGGUGAAAUGCUUAGAUAUCACGAAGAACUCCGAUUGCGAAGGCAGCUUACUAAACUGCCACUGACAUUGAUGCUCGAAAGUGUGGGUAUCAAACAGGAUUAGAUACCCUAGUAGUC